rnacentral:rRNA from 1 species
CCGCGGUAUCCUAACCGUGCGAAGGUAGCGUAAUCACUUGUUCUUUAAAUGAGGACUAGUAUGAAUGGCAUCACGAAGGUUAUACUGUCUCCCCUUUUUAAUCAGUGAAACUAAUCUUCCCGUGAAGAAGCGGGAAUAAAAUUAUAAGACGAGAAGACCCUAUGGAGCUUUAGACUACGCAACAAUUGCUAUUCACUUUUUACCCUAUGGGGCCCCAACUAUAUUUUCUCAUAUUGAUUGCUAGUCUUGGGUUGGGGUGACCGCGGAGUAAAAUAUAACCUCCACGAUGAAAGAAACUUAAUUUCUUAACCCAGAGUUACAACUCUAAGUACCAAAAAUUUGACAUUAAUUGAUCCAAUUUAUUGAUCAACGAACCAAGUUACCCUAGGGAUAACAGCGCAAUCUACUUCAAGAGUCCCUAUCGACAAGUAGGUUUACGACCUCGAUGUUGGAUCAGGGUAUCCUAGUGGUGCAGCCGCUACUAAAGGUUCGUUUGUUCAACGAUUAAAACCCUACGUGAUCUGAGUUCAGACCGGA